AAAUUAAUUGGUUAUAGAAGCAGUUACAAAAAAUAAACAGUUCCAGGGGCAAGGGCUUAAACCAGUAUCAUUAAAAGAUAAAUGCAGGCGCUUUAGGUACCUUCCACUGAGCACAUUCUCAGGAGCUGCUGGUACAGCCUGCCUCAAUUCCUUAUCAGCAGGUGCAUUCCUGGAUGUGCUUGGAGCCAGUUUGCACUAGUUAUUCCCUUAAGGGGGAUAAAGGGGGCUGCAAGUGAAGAAACUAAAAUGGAGUCUGUCCGUCCGGCUGUCUCUCCUGGGAGAGAGUCACUCAGGUAAAAACAAGGUGUUAAAGGCUGCUUUGUUUGCUUCCUUGUCUUGGCUAUGGUGAAUAAUGCUGCUGUGAAUAUAGCACCUUCGAGGAACGUGAGAAGGAGACACUUUUCGCUAGAGUUGUUUAAGGGAGAGCCAGAUGGGCUGGGCAGGAGGAUUUUUACCUGGAACCUAUGCGAUGAGCUGUGACAUCCCUCUCCCCACCUUCAAUCUCAGCCCCAGCAUCCACCUCCUGGGCGAAGAGGCUGUGCAGUGGCGCCACCUGGUGGUCUGUGCUCUUCCAAUCCCAGAUCAAGCACAGCCCUGAAAUCCACCUGUCCCUCCUCUGUGCCAGGGUUUCUUCACUGGACACCAGCGUGAGUCAACUUUCCUGUAAAGCAGAACGAGCAUGAAAUGGGACCAUGUUAGAGGAGGAAUGGUGUCAUCUCCACCUCUGGAGAGAUCCCCGUCACCUUGUUCAGGGGAAGGACCAAGCCUCACUCCCAUGCAGAGAGGAGACUCUGGCUGUAACUGCGCCUGUGGAGAGGUUCCUCCUUGAAAUUUAUAUUGUAUGGUAAGGUUUCCUAUUGUUUGAAUUUUGUGGUUGCAUGCCAAGGUGUGGUUUGACGUUUAUCUUUAUUACCUGUAUUUUCUAUAAAUUGGUAGUUUGGUAUAUAGGCUUGUGCAUAUUCAGGGUUUUUUUCUGUAAGUAUUGAUGGUUCUAUAAAAGGAAAAUAAAUCUAGGGGCCCCAAAAUUACUAAGCUAAAAGGGAAAAGUCAAGCUGGGAACUGCUCAGGGCAAACCUGCCUCCCGUCUAUCCAAUGUCACCCCUCUGCUCACUGAGAUAAAGUCAUGUCUGAUUGCCUCCUUUGGAGAGGCUAAUCAGAAACUCAAAAGACUGCAACCAUUUGUCUCUCAUCUACCUGUGACCUGGAAGCUCCCUCCUUGCUUCGAGUUGUCCCGCCUUUCCAGGUGGAAUCAAUGUUCAGCUUACAUAUGUUGGUCAAUGUCUCAGGUCUCCCUAAAAUAUACAAAACCAAGUUGUGCUCUGAUCGCCUAGGGCACAUGUCGUCAGGACCUCCUGAGGCUGUGUCAUGGGCAUGUAUCCUCAACCUUGGCCAAAUAAACUUUCUAAAAC